rnacentral:rRNA from 1 species
CCUACGGGUGGCAGCAGUGAGGAAUAUUGCACAAUGGGGGAAACCCUGAUCCAGCCACGCCGCGUGAGUGAAGAAGGCUUUCGGUGUGUAAAGCUCUUUCAGCCGGGAAGCAAAUGACGGUACCUGUUUAAGCAGCACCGGCCAACUACGUGCCAGCAGCCGCGGUAAUACGUAGGGGGCGAGCGUUAUCCGGAUUUACUGGGGGUAAAGGGAGCGUAGGCGGCUGCACAAGUCUGCAGUGAAAUGCCGGGGGUUAAACCCGGAACUGCCGUGGAAACUUUGUAGCUAGAGUGGAGGAGAGGUAAGCGGAAUGCCUAGUGUAGCGGUGAAAUGCGUAGAUAUUAGGAAGAACACCAGUGGCGAAGGCGGCGUACUGGACCGUAACUGACGCUGAGGCUCGAAAGCGUGGGGAGCAAACAGGAUUAGAGACCCCAGUAGUC